rnacentral:rRNA from 1 species
CCUACGGGAGGCAGCAGUGGGGGAUAUUGCACAAUGGGGGGAACCCUGAUGCAGCGACGCCGCGUGGGUGAAGGAGCGUUUCGGCGCGUAAAGCCCUAUCGGCAGGGAAGAAGGAGGACGGUACCUGACUAAGAAGCCCCGGCUAACUACGUGCCAGCAGCCGCGGUAAUACGUAGGGGGCAAGCGUUAUCCGGAUUUACUGGGUGUAAAGGGGGCGCAGACGGCAGCGCAAGCCAGGAGUGAAAGCCCGGGGCCCAACCCCGGGACUGCGCUUGGAACUGCGCGGCUGGAGUGCAGGAGGGGCAGGCGGAAUUCCUGGUGUAGCGGUGAAAUGCGUAGAUAUCAGGAGGAACACCGGUGGCGAAGGCGGACUGCUGGACUGCGACUGACGUUGAGGCCCGAAAGCGUGGGGAGCAAACAGGAUUAGAUACCCUGGUAGUC